rnacentral:rRNA from 1 species
CGUACACUCCUACGGGAGGCAGCAGUGGGGAAUUUUGGACAAUGGGCGCAAGCCUGAUCCAGCCAUGCCGCGUGCGGGAAGAAGGCCUUCGGGUUGUAAACCGCUUUUGUCAGGGAAGAAAAGGUUCUGGCUAAUACCUGGGACUCAUGACGGUACCUGAAGAAUAAGCACCGGCUAACUACGUGCCAGCAGCCGCGGUAAUACGUAGGGUGCAAGCGUUAAUCGGAAUUACUGGGCGUAAAGCGUGCGCAGGCGGUUAUGCAAGACAGAGGUGAAAUCCCCGGGCUCAACCUGGGAACUGCCUUUGUGACUGCAUGGCUAGAGUACGGUAGAGGGGGAUGGAAUUCCGCGUGUAGCAGUGAAAUGCGUAGAUAUGCGGAGGAACACCGAUGGCGAAGGCAAUCCCCUGGACCUGUACUGACGCUCAUGCACGAAAGCGUGGGGAGCAAACAGGAUUAGAUACCCCAGUAGUCCC